rnacentral:lncRNA from 1 species
GUACAAUUAAGUCAGGCCUAACUCACUCUCUAUCCUGAAUAGCUUUUUUUUUUUCCCCUGGAUUCCUGAUUGCUUUGCUUAUUUUCAGAUUUAGUGACUCAAUUCAACUUUUAAAGUCCCAGUUAAAGUUUAGUGCUGGGGCACAGAUAAAAUUCUGAAAAAAGCUACUCUACUAAUAACAGGCAAGUAUUAACAGCUAGCUGAUCCUGCUUUUAAAUACACCUGCCCUGUGUUACUGAUACUCACUCAGUCUGUCAUGGAAGAGCAGCCUGCAGCUCGCUUGCAGUCCAGUCAUGCCGUCCCUGUUACAAUAAAUCUUUACUCCCAAAGCCGCCAGAAUUCUACCGCCACGUGGGUGGUCUCUGCCAGCUUCCCGAGUUGUGCCCCCCGAGUGGAUGGACAAAAUAAUACAGAGACAUUAUAAAAGGAACAUGGAUGAAGAGCUGCUUGAAGGAGUAUGGGCAGCUAAGAUCUCCUCAUCUUCAUGAUUAUUAUCUUCUCACUUCUUUGGAGCAGGAAGAUCAUGAGAAACCUUCUCUACAGUUUCAUACUAUGCCUGAUGUGUACCACUCUCCUCCCCCAGUGGAAAGGAGGAUGGACAAGACAAUGAACAUGUAUUGUUAUCUCCCCAGGAAUGUAACUUCUCAGCCACUGCUCCAGAACUAUGCCUGCCUGCCUGCCUGCCUUCUGCCUGCUUCCAUGUUCCCCACCAUGAUGGGCAUGGACUCUAAUCCUCAAAGAUGCCAUGCUUAUCAUCAAGAGGAUAAUGGACUGAAACUUUAAGCCAGCUCCAAUUAAAUGUUUUCCUUUAUAAGAGUUGCUAUGGUCAUGGUGUCUCUUCCCAACAAUAUAAACCCUAACUAAGACAGAAGUAUAAACUAUUAAAGCAGUUUUAUAAUGAAAUAGAUUCUUGGAGGGAUGGAGAUAUAGCUCAGUGGUAUAAUACUUUCAUAGUAUGUAGGGUCCCAAGUUUGAUUCCUAAUACCAUAGAAAGAAAAAGAAAAAGGAGAGGAGGGCAUAUUAUUUGUAUAGGCUUAUAUACACAUGUACCUAUGACAGUAUCUGAAUUUAUGGCUAAACACUACUGGAUUCAGAUUAUUUACUAGUGAAUUUAACAGACAUUUCAGAAACAAUUGGUAUAAAAAUCUAUAUCAACUAUUUCCCAAAACUGAAGAGGACAGCAAGCUAAGAGGCAAUACCCAUAGCACCAAAAGAAGUGGGGGAUAUUUCACAAAAAGGAAGCCACAAUCCGUAUCUGUUGUAAAG